UACGUAGGUGGCAAGCGUUGUCCGGAAUUAUUGGGCGUAAAGCGCGCGCAGGCGGUCCUUUAAGUCUGAUGUGAAAGCCCACGGCUCAACCGUGGAGGGUCAUUGGAAACUGGGGGACUUGAGUGCAGGAGAGAAGAGUGGAAUUCCACGUGUAGCAGUGAAAUUCGUAGAUAUCGGGAGGAACACCAGUGGCGAAGGCGGCUCUCUGGGCAGCAACUGACGCUGAGACACGAAAGCAUGGGGAGCAAACAGG
rnacentral:rRNA from 1 species